rnacentral:lncRNA from 1 species
GACAAGUAGCAUAGGAGAGGUUUCAGAAAAUAUCUAACUUUAGGAUUUUUGUAGUGAAAAUGAUAUUAUUAUUGGGUUUUGUUACAUUGUUUCAAUGAAACGGUUAUUAGGCCUAUGAAGAUAUUUUGGGGUGUAGACAUCAUGGUCAUUGUCAUUGAGACACUAAAGAUCAGGUUCAUGUUCAUUUGAAGGGUGGUGCUAAGGAGGUAUUAUCUCAAUCACAAGUGUAGGUAUUUAUAAUGAAUGAAUAGUUGCUUUAUGGAUAAAACCAACUGUCGUUUCUAGAAAUCGAACUUUUCACAUUUUGAUGGAUCUAGUGAGAACUUAUAUCACUAGACUAAUGCCUUGAUAUCUGAAUUUUUUAUAUGUGAACUCAAUAUAUUUUCUCAAAUUAAGACAUGUGAUAUUCUGAAAUUUCUUUAAAAAGUUGCUACAUUUACAAAUGUGAUGAAGUACUUCUAGUUCAUGCCAUCUUCCAUGCAGUGAGAAGAGAAACAUUGAAGAAAUAUUGAAGGAUUAGGUGGGAGUAGUUCCUCCCCUCACUUUUUUGUAGAUUUUUUAUAUUAAUAUCAUUCAUAAGGAUGGAAAGGAAAUAGAAAUAUUAUCAAAAGUAGCAGAAAGAUAAGUUCUUUGAUUAUGUUAUAAGCUUCAGGUUUUGUAGAACCUGUCUCUCCUCAAAUACAAAUACAUGUUCCUAGGUGAUGCAAUCAUUCAUAAUGAAUGUGGAUGUUCCAUCCUGCAUCUAUUCAUGAAUCAGACCCUGUUCGGGUCACGUAUAUUCGUGAACCAGGGGCUGUUUGAGUGGUUGCAUCUCGUGCCUCCUGCAUCUGUUCAUGAAUCACGGGCUGUCUCGGUGAUGCAUUCUUCGAAUAUUUCUGGUUGUAGACUUGAGUGAUUAAAGGUUGCCCCUUAGUAGAUUGAGACACAGGUGAAUCAUUAUUUACCCUUUGAGGACCAGAACUGCACAAGGGUAGGUUCAGUACUUUGGUAUCAGCACAAAGACCAGAAUUGUUCAGAAAGCUCCUGGAAAAUGCACCAUUUUCAAAAGCUUUCGGAACCUUUCCUGUUAAAUGAUUGGAAGAUAGAUUGAGAUUGGUUGGUCUCAGAAGGCCUAGUUCAGGUGGAAUUUGGCCAGAUAUAUUGUUUUCUGACAAGUCCAAUAUAUUAAGGGCAGGUAACUUGCCAAGUGCACCUGGUAUCUCUCCAGAUACUUGGUUGUGGCUCACAUUUAGAGAUGUUAAGGACUUCCAUGAUAUUAUAUCUGAUGGAAGUGGUCCUGUGAGUUGAUUCUGAUCAAGCAAAAGAGUUGUUAACUUUGCAAGAGAUGUUAGAUCAUGUGGAAUACUUCCAUUUAAGAAAUUGUUACUUGCAUUAAACACCACCAAAUUCUUCCAUGAAGAUACUUCAGUUGGAAUUCUACCAGAAAAAUGAUUGUCACUUAUGCCCAAAUCUGAGAUACUCAAAGAAAUUCUUUCGGGAAGCUCACCGGUGAAAUUGUUCUGAUUUACCUUAAUUGUUGAAACAUUCUCUAAUGUCCACAGGCCACUAGGAAUGUUGCCAGAAAAGUUAUUGUUUUCAAUUCUCAGAAAUUGCAGGCUACUGCAAUUUCCUAGUGUUUCUGGAAACUCACCACUCAGGUUAUUGUCAUAGGUAGUUAAACCAACAAACUUCCCAUUAUAGCAUAAGUUCUGUGGAAGCCUUCCAGUGAAACUAUUAGAUGCAAUCUGAAAUGUUUCAAGCUUUGAGAACUGGCCGAAGUUCGGAGGAAGAUUACCUGAUAAAUUGUUGAGAAAUACAAGAAAAUCUAUUAGAUUUGGCAGAAAACCAAUGCUCUCUGGUACAUCACCUGAUAAUUGAUUGAUUUGCAAAUUUAUAGUUGUUAACUUUUUAAGCUUUCCAAUAUCUUCUGGUAUUUUCCCACUGAGAUUAUUCUGUGAAAGAUCCAAUUCUAUUAAGUUGAAUGAUUCAACCACUUCAGGUAUGUCCCCAGAUAAUUUGUUUUUGUAAAGAUAAAUUAUGCUCAAAUUCUUUAGCUUCAACAAACCAUUAGGAAUAUGUCCACUUAAACCAUUUCCUGAUAAAUCCAAGUUCUCCAAUGCAACCAUUUCUCCAAUGGUUUCAGGUAUUUCACCAACCAAAUUGGAGUCAUGCAUAUCAAAGACCUUCAAUUUGUUCAACUUGGUGAAGCUUGAUGGCAACUUUGUAGGAGG